ensembl:lncRNA
CGAAGUGAGGUGCAAGGGAGCAUGUGGCCCAGAAGAGGCAUACAAAUCCUGCCUACACACUCUAUGUGAACAGCCGGAGCUGACUCACGGGCAGCACAGGAUGAGACUGCCUGCCUAGCAAAUUGAGUGGAUACUUCGGUCAGUGCACCUUGAGCUCCAGGAGGCUGUGCAAAGCAGAGCCCCAGGAGGGACUUUCCCCAAAACUCUGCACCUGUGGAUACCAGCCAUCAGACACCGCCACUUCACAUGCACCUCCAGCUCUGAGGGUCAGCCGAAGUCAUCCUAGCUUGCAAGAUCCUAUCCUAUAUAAAGGACAAGAAAUAGGUGUGAGACAGGAGGCAGGAAAUGUGUCAUUUCACUAUAACUGUGCAGAAAAUGGUCAGAUGCUGUGGAUAGUCACUGGGGAAGCUGAGGGAGCCAUGCCCCUGAGCAUCCAUUCCAGCACAGCUCUAAAGGAGUCUAUGGCUGAGUUGCUUGGGAGGCAACACACCUAGCACAGAGAUACACACUUCUGCCAAGGAAGUCCUUCAGUCUUAGGAACUCCUAAAGAUCCACCUGACUUGAACAUCUUUUGCCUUUGUGGUGGAACUCAGCUGCAGAUCAUGGCAGGGAUCUUCACCAGCUUGACACAUUCACCAAAAGAAGAACAAUCUGAGCUAAUAAAAGAAGGAAAUGAAUUAGGAAGCAAUUUGUUGAACUGGAUUUUAUUCUUUACUAAAACUUAAAUCUUGUUUGAUCGGACUUUUGUUUUUAUUGCCUUGGUCUCAGCCUUUUUGCUG